rnacentral:rRNA from 1 species
AUUGAACGCUGGCGGCAGGCCUAACACAUGCAAGUCGAGCGAGCGGCGGACGGGGGAGUAAGGUAUGGGGACUGUCCGUUAUCGGGGGAUAACUACUGGAAACCGUAUCUAAUAACGCAUCCUAUCGGCUUCCCCAUAUGGGAUUAGCUAGUAGGUGAGGUAAUGGCUCACCUAGGCGACGAUCCCUAGCUGGUCUGAGAGGAUGAUCAGCCACACUGGGACUGAGACACGGCCCAGACUCCUACGGAGGCAGCAGUGGGGAAUAUUGCACAAUGGGCGAAAGCCUGAUGGAGCCAUGCCGCGUGUAUGAAGAAGGCCUUAGGGUUGUAAAGUACUUUCAGUCGGGAGGCGUUACCGACAGAAGAAGCACCGGCUAACUCCGUGCCAGCAGCCGCGGUAAUUC